GUUUGGAAGGGAUAAGCGCUGAAGGCAUCUAAGCGCGAAGCCCCCCUCAAGAUGAGAUUUCCCAUCCUUAAUGGAGUAAGAUCCCAUGUAGAUAAUAUGGUAAUAGGCCUGAGGUGUAAGUACAGUAAUGUAUUCAGCUGACAGGUACUAAUAGAUCGAGGACUUGACCAA
rnacentral:rRNA from 1 species